CCUACGGGUGGCAGCAGUGAGGAAUAUUGGUCAAUGGGCGCUAGCCUGAACCAGCCAAGUAGCGUGAAGGAUGACUGCCCUAUGGGUUGUAAACUUCUUUUAUAUGGGAAUAAAAUGCAGUAUGUAUACUGCUUUGCGUGUACCUUAUGAAUAAGGAUCGGCUAACUCCGUGCCAGCAGCCGCGGUAAUACGGAGGAUCCGAGCGUUAUCCGGAUUUAUUGGGUUUAGAGGGAGCUAAGGCGGGUUGUUAAGUCAGUUGUGAAAGUUUGCGGCUCAACCGUAACAUUGCAGUUGAUACUGGCUUCCUUGAGUACAGUAGAGGUAGGCGGAAUGCGUGGUGUAGCGGUGCAAGGCUUAGAUAUCACGCAGAACUCCGAUUGCGAAGGCAGCCUACUGGACUGUAACUGACGCUGAUGCUCGAAAGUGUGGGUAUCAAACAGGAUUAGAUACCCGAGUAGUC
rnacentral:rRNA from 1 species